GAGGGUAUAGCUCAGUGGCAGAGUGUACACUUAGCAUACAUGAAGUCCUGGGUUUAAUUCCCAGUACCUCCA
rnacentral:tRNA from 1 species